ensembl:lncRNA
AGGUGUGAUGAAGCAGGAUGACAUUUCCGCUGUUGUCAAAAAUGACUUGAGUAUUCUUCAGCUUGCACAGUCGUUCUUUAACAAACAUGGACAUGACCCUACCAAAUUUGAGUACAUACGACAAAAACUCCGUGAAGUUGGAAGAUUGUUGCUGACUUUGCGUAGAGAGUUUUCUGUGUACAGUCUUGAAGAAGCUCUGAAACCUGCCAGUUUUCAUAAACUCAUUCGAGCGGUUCAGAUGGUGUCUGGCUAUGAUGAUGAGAGCCACUGCUACCAAAGCCCAAGCCUUGCCCUGAAACUGGGGCAUUCGUUGAAUAAGAUUUGCGAAAUCAUUCACUGCCGAGCACUGAUGUCUGAAGACAAGGAAUUGAUCUCAUCAACAGAAACCUUUAAAAAGCUCUACUCCUCGAAGUGGUCUGAGAUGAUCUCACACACUGCUUUGGUCACACUGAAUGAAGCCAAAUUUAACAAGCCAUCAACACUUCCCUUCACUCAGGAUGUCCAGUCCCUUCAUCGGCUCCUUGAGAAGACUGCACAUACGGCUUUUCAGAAACUACAAGAGACGGCAUCUCCUCAAAGCUAUGCAGAACUGGCCAAAGCAACACUCGCCAGAAUCAUUGUUUUCAACCGCAGACGUGCAGGAGAGGUCUCUAAAAUGCCGCUGAAGGGCUUCAAUGAAAGGGACGGCACUUCUCUCCAUGAUGAUGUAGCGAUGGGCCUGAGCAAGUUUGAGCAGAAGCUCUGCAGCCAUUUCAGUCGAGUUGAGAUCAGGGGGAAGAGGGGAAGAAAGGUUGCGGUUCUUCUCUCUCCUGAUAUGGUCGAUGCCCUGAAGCUGCUGGUCAGCAGGAGAAGUGAAUGUGGAGUGCUGGACACUAAUACUUUCUUGUUUGCUCGGCCAAACUGCCAGAGUCACUACAGAGGCCAGGACUCUCUGAGGGUCUAUGCAAGUGAAUGUGGAGCUCAAAAUCCAGAAUUUCUCCGAUCCACUCAUCUGCGAAAGCACGUGGCUACGCUCUCACAAAUCCUUAACCUGAAAAACAAUGAGUUAGAUCAGGUUGCCGAUUUCUUAGGGCAUGACAUCCGUGUCCACCGCGACUAUUACAGGCUGCCAGAAGCCACUACUCAGCUUGCUAAAAUAUCAAAGCUUCUGUUAGCCAUGGAAAAGGGCUGCCUUCCUAAUCUUCAAGGCAAAUCACUUGAUGACAUUGAGAUUGAAGAU